UACAGAGGGGGCUAGCGUUAUUCGGAAUUAUUGGGCGUAAAGGGCUCGUAGGCGGUUUGUCGCGUCGGGAGUGAAAACCCAGGGCUUAACCCUGGGCUGGCUUCCGAUACGGGCAGACUAGAGGUAUGCAGGGGAGAACGGAAUUCCUGGUGUAGCGGUGAAAUGCGCAGAUAUCAGGAGGAACACCGGUGGCGAAGGCGGUUCUCUGGGCAUUACCUGACGCUGAGGAGCGAAAGUGUGGGGAGCGAACAGG
rnacentral:rRNA from 1 species